AAACAUACAUUUUGUAGGUUAUGAAUUAAAAUAUAAUUAUUGUACACUAUUAUUUAAUGAAAUAAAAUUUAGAUAAAUUAAUGUUUUCUCUUAAAUGAUGUAAUUGGUGUCAAUUGAAUAUAUUAGUGCAUUGAUGGUACAAAAUGACUAUCUUUAAUAAUUUCUCAUUAUUGGAUUACUUGUCAAAAAUAUUUUUGUUAUUUUAGUAUAAAUAUUUUAUGGCAUGUAUGCUGAAAUUAAUUAAUUCCAUAAAUUAAAUAUUGACAAUAUAUGACAAACAUCAUGAAAUAAAUAUUUUAAAGAAUAUAAUAAAAACAAAAAAUAAUUUAAAACUUCCAUUUAUGAUUGAAAACAUUUAUCUAUUUAUAUUAUGUAUUCAAUAUUUAUAGUUCAUACUUCAUUAUUAAACAGUCAUGGCUUCAUAUUAAAUUUUCUUCAUUACUUACAGUAUAUCUAUGGUCCAUUGCAAAAAUAACUAUGAUGAAUGUCAUAUUUUCUAUAUUUAUUUUAUUUAGGUUUACUUGAAAAUUGAAUUCAUUAGUUCUAAAAUUAUAUUAAUGUAUUUAUUUAUUAAACAAUUCAAAUGUUGAAUAAAAUGUAACUGGUUUACAAAUUGUUUUUAGCCUAAACCAAUAAUUAGGCAUAGUUUUAUUUUUAAUUUCAAUAAC